GGGCCGAUGCCCGAGCAGUUAAUGGGGACAGACUGUAAAUUUGUUGGCAAUGUGUCUACGCUGGUUAAUCCAGCUCGGCCCA
rnacentral:tRNA from 1 species